rnacentral:rRNA from 1 species
GGCAAUGGACGAAAGUCUGACCGAGCAACGCCGCGUGAGUGAAGAAGGUUUUCGGAUCGUAAAACUCUGUUGUUAGAGAAGAACAGGAGCGAUAGUAACUGCUCGCUCUUUGACGGUAUCUAACCAGAAAGCCACGGCUAACUACGUACCAGCAGCCGCGGUAAUACGUAGGUGGCAAGCGUUGUCCGGAUUUAUUGGGCGUAAAGCGAGCGCAGGCGGUCUCUUAAGUCUGAUGUGAAAGCCCACGGCUUAACCGUGGAGGGUCAUUGGAAACUGGGAGACUUGAGUGCAGAAGAGGAAAGUGGAACUCCAUGUGUAGCGGUGGAAUGCGUAGAUAUAUGAAGAACACCAGUGGCGAAGGCGGCUUUCUGGUCUGUAACUGACGCUGAGGUUCGAAAGCGUGGGAGCAACAGGAUUAGAUACUCUGGUAGUCCACGCCG